rnacentral:tRNA from 1 species
GGGGCUAUAGCUCAGCUGGGAGAGCGCUUGCAUGGCAUGCAAGAGGUCAGCGGUUGGAUCCCGCUUAGCUCCACCG